AACGAACGCUGGCGGCAGGCUUAACACAUGCAAGUCGAGCGCCCCGCAACGGGAGCGGCAGACGGGUGAGUAACGCGUGGGAACGUACCCUUUGCUACGGAAUAGCUCCGGGAAACUGGAAUUAGUACCGUAUGUGCCCUACGGGGGAAAGAUUUAUCGGCAAAGGAUCGGCCCGCGUUGGAUUAGCUAGUUGGUGGGGUAAUGGCCUACCAAGGCGACGAUCCAUAGCUGGUCUGAGAGGAUGAUCAGCCACAUUGGGACUGAGACACGGCCCAAACUCCUACGGGAGGCAGCAGUGGGGAAUAUUGGACAAUGGGCGCAAGCCUGAUCCAGCCAUGCCGCGUGAGUGAUGAAGGCCUUAGGGUUGUAAAGCUCUUUCACCGGAGAAGAUAAUGACGGUAUCCGGAGAAGAAGCCCCGGCUAACUUCGUGCCAGCAGCCGCAGUAAUAC
rnacentral:rRNA from 1 species